rnacentral:lncRNA from 1 species
AAAAGAAAAAGAAAAAGAAAAAAAAAUAUAGAAUAAACUUCUUUGCUUGCCUUGAAACCUGAGCAUGGUCCGAAGGGGUGGCGAAAGCCUUUAAAGCCUGGUGCCCUAAGCCUUUAUUGGUUGGGAGUCACCGAUCCUCUGCUUGUUACAUGGGUGAAUUGGUUAAGUUUAGUAAGUGAAAAGAAUUGUGAAUAAGAGGUG